UACGGAGGGUGCAAACGUUGCUCGGAAUCACUGGGCGUAAAGCGCACGUAGGCGGCUCGAAAAGUCGGAUGUGAAAGCCCUGGGCUCAACCUAGGAAGUGCAUUCGAAACUGCCGAGCUUGAGUACGGGAGAGGGUUGCGGAAUUCCCGGUGUAGAGGUGAAAUGCGUAGAUAUCGGGAGGAACACCAGUGGCGAAGGCGGCAGCCUGGACCGAUACUGACGCUGAGGUGCGAAAGCGUGGGGAGCAAACAGG
rnacentral:rRNA from 1 species